AGGCGGGGUACGCGCUGAACCGGUCGCCAGCCAAUCACAGGGCACGCAUAGACCUCGACACUCACGGGGAGAACAUGCAAAGUCCACACAGACGCAGCCCUGAUGCUGGCAAGGGACCCGGGUUCAUGCGAGGACAUCCCAGAAUAGGAAAAGCAGGCUGGAAAGAGCCUGCAGCAAAGCACAAAGUGUGGCAGGGAUCCAGCUCAAACCAUUAGUCCAGUGGAAGAUAAACAGACCCAAAGCAUGAUGCUGCCACCACCUUGCAGGAAGAUCUCCGGCUUGGUGCCGGGGCCGUGGGCGGCCCCUCGCGCCUGCUUCAGACACUGCAGACAGUUCCUGUAGGUGCCGAACGCCACCGAGGACGUGACGGAGAUGGUCGCCAUCGGCAGCGACAUGCCUUUGAAGAAGCCGUGCGCCUGGUGACGUCACAGAAAUCCUUAAUACAGUGAAGCGCCACUUUAUUGCCGUUCAUCAUUUGUGCCGCUGCUAUAAAUGCUGAUU